rnacentral:tRNA from 4 species
AAGCGAGGCAGGUUGCACUAAGGACUGCUAAUCCCAAACCCCAUGGUUCAAAUCCGUGGCUCACUUA